rnacentral:rRNA from 1 species
GGAUUAGAUACCCUGGUAGUCCACGCUAUAAACGAUGAAUACUAGAUGCGGGGGGAGUCAACCCUUCCGUGUCGCAGCUAACGCAUUAAGUAUUCCGCCUGGGGAGUACGCCGGCAACGGUGAAACUCAAAGGAAUUGACGGGGGCCCGCACAAGCGGUGGAGCAUGUGGUUUAAUUCGACGCAACGCGAAGAACCUUACCAGGGCUUGACAUGGGAAUGCCAGUACGAGAGAUCGUGCCUUUUCCUUCGGGAAACAUUCUACACAGGUGCUGCAUGGCUGUCGUCAGCUCGUGCCG